rnacentral:rRNA from 1 species
CAAUAGCGUAUAUUAAAGUUGUUGCAGUUAAAAAGCUCGUAGUUGGAUUUCUGGUGAGAUGGAUUAUGUCUAGGUCGAAAGAUCUUGUUCAUGGUUCGUUUUGCCCUUCUUGUCAGGAACCCGCUGAGAUUCGCGUCUUGUCGGUGGAAUGGCAUCGUUUACUGUGAAAAAAUUAGAGUGUUCAAAGCAGGCAUCGCCGUUGAAUACAUUAGCAUGGAAUAAUAAGAUAAGACUUUGGUGGUCUAUUUUGUUGGUUUGCACGCCAAAGUAAUGAUUAAUAGGGAUAGUUGGGGGUAUUCGAAUUCUAUUGCUAGAGGUGAAAUUCUUAAAUUUAUGGAAGACGAACUACUGCGAAAGCAUUUACCAAGGAUGUUUUCAUUAA